GGAAAUUUAAUUUAUAUUUAGAGUUAAUUUUUAAAUUUAAAUUAAAUAUAUGGAUAGAUGUGUAAAUAUUUAUUAAAUUAAUAAAUUUUAAUUUAGUAAUAAAUAAAAUUAAUAAUUAAAGAAAUUUUUAAUUUGUAAAUUUUUAUAUAUAUAAAUAAAUAAAGUGCCAGCAAUAGCGGUUAUACUUUAUGUAAUAAAUUAAUAAUAUUUAGUAUUAAUUAAAUUAGUAUAUUAUUUAUAAUUUAAUAAAAUUUAAUAUUUAGUAAAAUAAAUUUAUUAAAUUAAAAUAUUUUAAGGUAAUAGAGUAAGUUGGGUUAAAAAAAUUUUGUAAAUAGACUAGGAUUAGAUACCCUAUUAUUUAAAAUAAAAAUUAUUGUUAAUAAAGUAAAAUUUUUAAGUAAAAUAUAUAAAUAUGGCGGUAUUUUAAUUUAUUCAGAGGGGCUUGUUGUUUAAUUUGAUAUUCCACGGUAAGAAAAACUUAAUUUAUAAUAUUUAUAUAUUUUUGUUUAAAAAAAUUUUUUAUAAAAUAAUUUUAAUAGUUUAAAUUUAAUUUAAAUUCAAAUCAAUAUGUAAUUUAUUAUUAAGAAUUAAAUGAGUUACAGUAAAUGGGAGAGUAAUUAUAUAUGUAUAUAAAUUUUAAUAUUUGUAUGAUUUAAAAGGAUUUGAGAGUAAAAUUAAUUAAUUUUUUAAUUUGAUUAUUUAAUUUUAAAAUAUGUACAAAUUGCCCGUCAAUUUAAUUUAUUAAUUUAUUAUUAGUUAGGUUAAGUAAGUCGUAACAAAGUAAGUGUAUUGGAAAAUGUACUUAGGAUGAG
rnacentral:ncRNA from 1 species